rnacentral:rRNA from 1 species
UGCGUAGGCGGCGAUUCAAGUCAGAUGUGAAAUGCCUGAGCUCAACUGAGGCAUUGCGUUUGAAACUGAAUUGCUAGAGUAUCCUAGGGGUGUGCGGAACUGCCAGUGGAACGGUGAAAUGUGUUGAUAUUGGCAGGAACACCGGAGGCGAAGGCGGCACACUGGGGGAUAACUGACGCUGAGGCACGAAAGCCAAGGGAGCGAACG